UUUUUUUUCUCGGUUUUUGAAGCACUGGAGAGUUGGAGGAAAAGUCAUGCCAUGCCUACAUGAAGCACAAAGGACAAGAGCAGGUUUUCAAGUUAAGGGAAAAGUUGGAUCGCCUCUACAAUGAACACAGACCAACAAGCGGGUGCAGACCUGUUGAAGCUUCUUUCAAAACUCGGACUGGAGAAAUUUUAUCCCAACAAGCUCCGUCUACAGAGUCUCUUAGAGAUAAACAAAAGCAGCACGUCUGAUGAAACUGUCGAAUCAGUCGAGGAAAUACCAUGGUGCUUUCUCAGAAGACUACUUAAAAUCAAUGCAGAAUGCAGAAAUGCUACACAAUUGCCAAAAAGCAAUGAUGACCUGGAAGAAGACGAUGAUAUAUUUGAAAUUGACCCAUAUACAGCAGAUAAUUCUGCAUACAAUGGAGUUCACCCUCU